rnacentral:rRNA from 1 species
CGUGCAGGAUGAAGGCUUCGGGUUGUAACUGCUUUUGUACGGAACGAAAAGGUCCUUUCUAAUAAAGAGGGCUCAUGACGGUACCGUAAGAAUAAGCACCGGCUAACUACGUGCCAGCAGCCGCGGUAAUACGUAGGGUGCGAGCGUUAAUCGGAAUUACUGGGCGUAAAGCGUGCGCAGGCGGUUAUAUAAGACAGAUGUGAAAUCCCCGGGCUCAACCUGGAACUGCAUUAGUGACUGUAUAGCUGGAGUGCGGCAGAGGGGGAUGGAAUUCCGCGUGUAGCAGUGAAAUGCGUAGAUAUGCGGAGGAACACCGAUGGCGAAGCAAUCCCCUGGGCCUGCACUGACGCUCAUGCACGAAAACGUGGGGAGCAACAGGAUUAGAUACCCUGGUAGUCCCGCCCUAAACGAUGUCACUGGUUGUUGGGAAU